rnacentral:sRNA from 1 species
UUCAUUCGAUAUCUGGGAGCCGUAGCCC